rnacentral:rRNA from 1 species
GAUGAACGCUGGCGGCGUGCUUAACACAUGCAAGUCGAACGAAGCACCUUAUUCUGAUUUCUUCGGAAUGAAAAAUUUGGUGACUGAGUGGCGGACGGGUGAGUAACGCGUGGGUAACCUGCCUCAUACAGGGGGAUAACAGUUAGAAAUGACUGCUAAUACCGCAUAAGACCACAGCACCGCAUGGUGCAGGGGUAAAAACUCCGGUGGUAUGAGAUGGACCCGCGUCUGAUUAGGUAGUUGGUGGGGUAACGGCCUACCAAGCCGACGAUCAGUAGCCGACCUGAGAGGGUGACCGGCCACAUUGGGACUGAGACACGGCCCAAACUCCUACGGGAGGCAGCAGCGGGGAAUAUUGCACAAUGGGGGAAACCCUGAUGCAGCGACGCCGCGUGAGCGAUGAAGUAUUUCGGUAUGUAAAGCUCUAUCAGCAGGGAAGAAAAUGACGGUACCUGACUAAGAAGCACCGGCUAAAUACGUGCCAGCAGCCGCGGUAAUACGUAUGGUGCAAGCGUUAUCCGGAUUUACUGGGUGUAAAGGGAGCGUAGACGGAGUGGCAAGUCUGAUGUGAAAACCCGGGGCUCAACCCCGGGACUGCAUUGGAAACUGUCAAUCUAGAGUACCGGAGAGGUAAGCGGAAUUCCUAGUGUAGCGGUGAAAUGCGUAGAUAUUAGGAGGAACACCAGUGGCGAAGGCGGCUUACUGGACGGUAACUGACGUUGAGGCUCGAAAGCGUGGGGAGCAAACAAGAGUAGAUACCCUGGUAGUCCACGCCGUAAA